UGUAUUUAGGAUGGGUGAAAUCUCCGAUUACACAUUUUUCUCCCGUGGAAAAUGUGUAACUAGUUCAUUUUAAAACUCCAAAUACAGUUUAUUCUGAGAACCUGUCAGGCCUUCCCCUCCCUUUUACUCCUUUGCUGAGAAGAACUGAGUCCUUUAAAGGUAUUGUUAACACGUGUGUUCAAAGAAUCAGGCAGGUCCAGAACCAAAGUUCGCCCGAUUACUUUCUUCGAGAAGAUAUAAAGAAUACCAGCAAGGCGAGUCAAGGGAGGCCACUUGAGAAAUGCUAUCCUAAGAUAAGAAGCAAAAACUUCAUUUAGUAAAUGUGGUUGCAGUGGUAUAGUGGAUAGAAAACCAGCCUUGGAGACAGGAAGAGCUGAGAUCGAGAACCUGUUUGAACACAUAUUGGCUAUAGGAUCCAAGGCAAACCAUUUUCGGUAUUCUAAGCAAUUCUUUAAUAUUAGAAGGCUCAGAGAAAGUACCAUAUACAGGUGCCACAGUGACUCAACAUGAGAACAAAGGGAAGAGAAAAUGAUUGGGGUCUAUUCUCAGUACCAGUACUCCUUGCCAUUAAAAUCUUCACCUUGCCAAAAACUAACAUGCAGUGUUCCCUAUCUAUGAAUCAUCUCUGAAAAGAAAAGAGAAGGUGCAUUUUCAUAUUUCUUUAUCAGGUCCAAGUUUGCUUGUCAUAAUAAAAAUGUUCAGUCUUGAUUUUUAAAAA